GAUGAACGCUAGCGGCAGGCUUAAUACAUGCAAGUCGAGGGGCAGCACGGAUAGCAAUAUCUGGUGGCGACCGGCGCACGGGUGCGUAAAACGUAUGUAACCUACCUUAAACUGGGGAAUAGCCCCUUGAAAAAGGGAUUAAUACCCCAUAACACUGCGAGAAGGCAUCUUUUUGCAGUUAAAGUUCCGACGGUUUAAGAUGGACAUGCGCGACCUUAGCUAGUUGGUGAGGUAACGGCUCACCAAGGCUUUGAGUUCUAGGGGUUCUGAGAGGAAAAUCCCCCACACUGGAACUGAGACACGGACCAGAAUCCUACGGGAGGCAGCAGUAAGGAAUAUUGGUCAAUGGGCGAAAGCCUGAACCAGCCAUGCCGCGUGCAGUAUGACGGCCCUAUGGGUUGUAAACUGCUUUUGUACGGGAAAAAACCCCUUUACGUGUAAAGGGCUGAUGGUACCGUAAGAAUAAGGAUCGGCUAACUCCGUGCCAGCAGCCGCGGUAAGAC
rnacentral:rRNA from 1 species